AAAAAAAAAAAAAAAAAAAAAAUGAGUUAAAAAAAAAAACAAAAAAAAGCCGACGAGCAAUGAGCCCAUUAGUCCUUUACCAAAUCCCAAUUCCCUUUCCACUUCCCGGCUCAUGCUCGCACAAGCUCCGACGAAGGCGAUUGUCGCGCAUUGAAUUACCGGCAGUUUACUUCCCAAUUUGGGUUUUUGAAUUUGAUUCUCCUUCCUCUGUCCUUCGAGCUAUAGUAGCACAGGUGACAUACACGAUACGAAAAACCCAUUU
rnacentral:misc_RNA from 1 species